CGCCUCUAAAAUCCAUCUCUUCUCUCAGACUCUCUUUAAACCCUAGCCUCUCUCACUGUCUUCUACCAUUAAACUCUCCGGAAUCCAUGGCUUCUCAGGCCAUGAGAGUCAUAAACUUAUAUCCCUCUGCUCUUAAACACUUGGUAGUCGAAGAUUUGAGGUCUGACCUCGAAGGUUUCUGCCCAGAUCUUUGGCGAUUCAAGGUUCUACGACCAUCUCUGGCCUUGCUCCGGCAUACAAUGGCGUUUUGAGUCUGGUUCUGACUUAUCCGAGUAAAAUCAGACCUUUUCAAAGCCUUUCUCAUUCUAAGGUUCUUCUGAAACCCUGACUAUUCAAGGUUCUCUCCGAUUUUUCUUGAUCUGUCACGUAUCUAUCCUCUACUUGGGUUUCUAAAUGAUUUCCUCAACUUUCUUUCAAAAAUUGCUUUUAAAACACUUCUCUUCGAUUUAGGGUUUUCUGAAAGACUUAAAAUGUUUAUCUAACUUUUUGUUUACUUUCUUUGUGUGUAUUUGUCUCUACCGUGCUCAUAUGUUUCUUUUUUUUUACCAUGCAUGUUUUUCUACUGCUUUCUUAUGCUUUCCUUCUACAGUACAUGCUCUUCUGUGCUAUCUAUGUUUUGUUUUCUUACUAUGUUUCUACACCAUGCUCACAUGUUAAUCUCACUAUGUUUUCCUAUGUGCUCUUUUGCUAUACAUUUCCAGUGUUCUUGUGUUUUUAUACUGUAUUUCGUUUACUAAGUUCUUAAAUUUCUUUGUUUGCCUUCUACUGUACCAUGUUGAGUUUCUAAAAAAAAGACCUUCUUAAAACAUGUUUCUUCUGCUGUAUUCUUAGGUGGCUUAGUAAUUUUCUCUUCUGAAUCUUGGUUAAUUUCUUCUACUGUGUUUACUAUUUUCUCUUCUACUGAACCCUGUUUAAGUCCCUUCUGAAAGGUUUUUCUCAAACAUGUCUCUUCUACUAUCAUGUUGUUCUCUCAUUAUGCUUUGAGUCAGUUCAUUCACUCUGUUCGCUUUGAAUUUUCUAUUGUAUUUGCUUGCCUUCUCAUGAGAUUCUGAAAAGAAAUCUCUGAGCCUAUUGCCUCCUCAUCUCUGUAUUUGACUAAAGGUGGAAACCCAAGAAUUUGGGGGUUCCGUUGAGUUUGGUCAUGUGACUGAACUAGGGUUCUGUUUGAGAACCCUCGACUCUUUCAGACUAAUCUCUGAACCUAUGAACUGAGUUUGGACUCCCUUGUUUUCAUGUAAUUCUGACUUCUCUGGAGUUUCCACUAGCCUUACAAUGGCAUGACAAAUUACUUCAUGUCUUAACGUGUCUGUAUGCCUUUAUGCGUGAUGAAUCCUUCUUCAAAAGGGUUUUCCAACUUGUGAUUGAUUCGAAAUUCCUAUUAAUAGGUCUAAUUGAUUGUUACUGAUUUUCUUUAAGUUAAAAUCUUUCCAUCUUUCUGACUUGGUUAAUUCAUACAAAAUCUUCAGUUUAUGAUUUCUUGGAUGUUAACUGAUUUCCUUUCCUUAAUUUGCACAACAGUGUGCUAUCAAGACCUUUUCCUUAAAUAGACCUUUAUGAAUUUACCCCUCUUAUACUGCUUUGGAAAGUGUUUGAUUAAUCUCUUUCCUUAGUUAGUUUUACUCGAUUGAAAUCAGAAUCCCUUAAUUAUGGGGAAACCUUGUGUAGGUGAUUCUCAAACUAUUUUCUUACCUAUUUCUGCUUGCUUUCUAUGCUAUAAAAGGGCACGUCCCUUCUGCACUUUCAAAAAAAAAACACCCACAUACACACUUCAGACCUCACACUAAAAUCUCAUAAUUCUCUUCUAAGACUCAUAGUAUUCUGAUUGCCUUUUUGCGUAUUGUCUUUACAAGACCACUGCUCUCUUUUGCUUGUUUCCUUGAAACUGGUAUGCUCUAGUUUUGGUUUCAUCAUCAUCCCAUUGUGUUUAUUUAUAGCCUUUACAUCCAUGUCUACUUUACUGCCUAUAUGGAGUUAAAUGUUAACAUGCAUGUUAAUUUCUUUGCAUCUGUUUCUGUUGUGAAUCCCUGCACCCCUGUUCCAUUUAUGUGCUUUGAGUUGAAGUUCAGGACAUGGAAAUAUGCAAGUUAUUGUUCAUGUUUGGACUUGAUCCCUCAGGUGAUCCUAACUCCCAAAACAAUGUGUCCUAGCAGGGUGGUGGGGUGUGCCAGCAUUUCCUAUUGCUAGGUAUUCCCACUAGCCUAUCCUUGCCUCGUUCCCUCUCCCCUCAUUAGAAUCCCUUCUCUGGAGUUACACUCUUUUGUAGUUUCUAAGUUCUACCCCUCUCUUUUGAGUCUUGCCUUGGGACCUUGAGUUCUAUCUGAACAUGGACACUUGAGGCUGGCCCUUCCACAAUGCACUAUGACUCAAUUCUACAAUAUAUUUGGUGUGAGCACUGCCUGAAGUCCAUUUGAGACUCUUAGGGAACUUCGACACAUUCCAAAUGAGAGAAAGGCUUUGGAGUUUUAUCUUUGGUGUUGAUUUACUUCAUGCUUCAGAUAGGAAUUCUGAAUGAGGCUCACCUUGGUUGUAAUUUUAAGUUUUCUGAUGUAAUUUUGCUUUUCUUAUUCAUUCUGGGCUGUAAUAACUUGUAAUAAC
rnacentral:lncRNA from 1 species